rfam:Schistosoma curassoni strain Dakar, Senegal genome assembly, scaffold: SCTD_scaffold0002028
AUCUAGCUAACGAGUCCUAAAUAGGAUGAAAUGUGCUUCCUUGAU